UGGGGAAUCUUCCGCAAUGGACGAAAGUCUGACGGAGCAACGCCGCGUGAGUGAUGACGGCCUUCGGGUUGUAAAGCUCUGUUAAUCGGGACGAAUGGUUCUUGUGCGAAUAGUGCGAGGAUUUGACGGUACCGGAAUAGAAAGCCACGGCUAACUACGUGCCAGCAGCCGCGGUAAUACGUAGGUGGCAAGCGUUGUCCGGAAUUAUUGGGCGUAAAGCGCGCGCAGGCGGAUUGGUCAGUCUGUCUUAAAAGUUCGGGGCUUAACCCCGUGAUGGGAUGGAAACUGCCAAUCUAGAGUAUCGGAGAGGAAAGUGGAAUUCCUAGUGUAGCGGUGAAAUGCGUAGAUAUUAGGAAGAACACCAGUGGCGAAGGCGAGUUUCUGGACGAAAACUGACGCUGAGGCGCGAAAGCCAGGGGAGCGAACGGG
rnacentral:rRNA from 1 species